UCGUACGAACAGCGGAAAGUGCUUGCACUUUNCAAGUNAGUGGCGAACGGGUGAGUAACACGUGAAUAACCUNCCUCAAAGACNGGGAUAACCNUUGGAAACAGNGNCUAAUACCGGAUAAAACNNAGUNNCACAUGCUACAAGGUUAAAAGNUGCNUUUGCANCGCUUUAAGAUGGAUUCGCGGUGCAUUAGUUAGUUGGUGAGGUAAAGGCNCACCAAGACAAUGAUGCAUAGCCGAGUUGAGAGACUGACCGGCCACAUUGGGACUGAGACACGGCCCAAACUCCUACGGGAGGCUGCAGUAGGGAAUCUUCCACAAUGGGCGCAAGCCUGAUGGAGCAACGCCGCGUGUGUGAUGAAGGCUUUCGGGUCGUAAAGCACUGUUGUAUGGGAAGAACNGGUUUAANAGGAAAUGNUUNNNCNNUGACGGUACCAUACCAGAAAGGGACGGCUAAAUACGUGCCAGCAGCCGCGGUAAUACGUAUGUCCCGAGCGUUAUCCGGAUUUAUUGGGCGUAAAGCGAGCGCAGACGGUUNNNUAAGUCUGANGUGAAAGCCCACAGCUCAACUGNGGAAUGGCNUUGGAAACUGUCNAACUUGAGUGCAGUAGAGGUAAGUGGAACUCCAUGUGUAGCGGUGGAAUGCGUAGAUAUAUGGAAGAACACCANUGGCGAAANCGGCUUACUGGACUGCAACUGACGUUGAGGCUCGAAAGUGUGGGUAGCAACAGGAUUAGAUACCCUGGUAGUCCACACCGUAAACGAUGGAUACUANUUGUUNNANGGUUUCCGCCNNUUANUGACGAAGCAAACGCAUUAAGUAUCCCGCCUGGGGAGUACGACC
rnacentral:rRNA from 1 species